CAGUAGCCACGGGAAUACGUAGGGGGCAAGCGUUAUCCGGAAUUAUUGGGCGUAAAUAGUGCGUAGGUGGUCUACUAAGCGCGAGGUGAAAGGCAAUGGCUCAACCAUUGUUAGCCUUGCGAACUGGCAGACUUGAGUGCAAGAGAGGAAAGCGGAAUUCCUAGUGUAGCGGUGAAAUGCGCAGAUAUUAGGAGGAACACCGGCGGCGAAGGCGGCUUUCUGGAUUGUAACUGACACUGAGGCACGAAAGCGUGGGUAGCAAACAGGAUUAGAUACCCCGGUAGUCCCUGUCUCUUAUACC
rnacentral:rRNA from 1 species